ACGAACGCUGGCGGCGUGCUUAACACAUGCAAGUCGAACGAUGAAGCCUUUCGGGGUGGAUUAGUGGCGAACGGGUGAGUAACACGUGGGCAAUCUGCCCUUCACUCUGGGACAAGCCCUGGAAACGGGGUCUAAUACCGGAUAACACUCCUGCCUGCAUGGGCGGGGGUUAAAAGCUCCGGCGGUGAAGGAUGAGCCCGCGGCCUAUCAGCUUGUUGGUGGGGUAAUGGCCUACCAAGGCGACGACGGGUAGCCG
rnacentral:rRNA from 1 species